UUGAGCGCUCUGUAUCCAUAGGUGACGGCAGCACAGAUAUCAACAAACCAUCCUGAGAUUACAUGUUUCAAAGAGCGUUGGCUUCAGUCGGUGCCGUAUCACCCAUUUCACUGUCGACUACAUCCAAGAAGCUUUCAAAUGUCCUACUUGAAAGAGGCUGGUUGGAACCAGUGUAUUUGACGGUUGCAUCAUUUGAAAACUAGAAAGGCUCGGCUGCUUAAAACACAUCCACUGUCAGCGCUUUUUAAACACUUACUUCUGUUGCCUGUGGCGAGAAAUGAUAAUGCAAAGUUUACCACAGCGUUCUCAUUUGUGGUUAUCAGAUUGAUGCAGCUCCAUUAACCGUAAAGAGGACGCAGGAUGAUUUUCUGCAGUAAUGGCGGAUCUCUCCGUUCCAAUGGACAGCACAUGCAUGAACUAUAACUACCGGAAGACGAAAGAAGUCAGAAAGGGCUGUUUGGAAAAGGGAGGGAGGAGAUCGGAUCCUGGAUCCUUCGCGGCUUCGACUGUAAAGCGGGUCAAAUUCACAGCACCUCCGCCUCUGUAUCGGACAUAACAUCCUGAGACGGCGGAGAUUGGUGGCCAGGAUGCUGAAUUUUUCAUGAGGCAGGAAAGGUUAGAUAAGAUCCUCCCACGGAUUGGAGAUAGUGCACUUACAGAUCUGUCUUUGGAGCCCCAAAUAAAAAAGAAAAUACAUUUUGGAUGGUUCAGAUUUUGAAUGUGACCUCUUUACUGAAAUCACAUUCAGAGAUGGAAGUGUCAAAACAGGUACAUGUGAGACAAAUGUGUUCCACCUUCCGUGGUGGUUGCCUUGUAUUGCUUAGGCACACUCAUGACUCAUAACGACUUUAGUGAAAAUUAACAGUUUGUCUUCAUUCAAGUUGCGGAAAUGUCAUUCCUUCCAUC